UACGAAGGGGCUAGCGUUGUUCGGAAUCACUGGGCGUAAAGCGCACGUAGGCGGAUCUUUAAGUCAGGGGUGAAAUCCCGAGGCUCAACCUCGGAACUGCCUUUGAUACUGGGGAUCUCGAGUCCGGGAGAGGUGAGUGGAACUGCGAGUGUAGAGGUGAAAUUCGUAGAUAUUCGCAAGAACACCAGUGGCGAAGGCGCUCACUGGCCCGAUACUGACGCUGAGGAGCGAAAGCCAGGGGAGCAAAGCGGG
rnacentral:rRNA from 1 species